UGAAAAGAUCAAUUAGCAUAGAGGUUGCUUGGCCUGCUAUCUCUAACCCAUGUCUUUUGAGUACUUACGUUUUCCUCGGCGGGUCCGCCCCCCGAUUGGACAAAAUCAAACCCUUUGCAGUUGCAAUCAGCGUCUGAAAAACAUAAUAGUUACAACUUUCAACAACGGAUCUCUUGGGUUCUGGCAUCGAUGAAGAACGCAGCGAAAUGCGAUAAGUAGUGUGAAUUGCAGAAUUCAGUGAAUCAUCGGAAUCUUUGAACGCACAUUGCGCCCCUUGGUAUUCCAUGGGGCAUGCCUGUUCGAGCGUCAUUUGUACCUUCAAGCUUUGCUUGGUGUUGGGUGUUUGUCUCGCCUCUGCGUGUAGACUCGCCUUAAAACAAUUGGCAGCCGGCGUAUUGAUUUCGGAGCGCAGUACAUCUCGCGCUUUGCACUCAUAACGACGACGUCCAAAAGUACAUUUUU
rnacentral:rRNA from 1 species